AAUCUCCAUCGUAAUGCUAUCUCGGUGUCAUCUUAGGUCACUUUCUUCAUUAUUUGUGAACGGCACCCUGGUGCCUAAUGUCCAGUGUGCCGGGAAUGAAUCGGAAUCGACAUGCCCAGUGUCCGGCUGGGACUGCUACUGGUCUGGUCUAUUUUACUGCAUAUUAUCACUCGAGCAUUGGUUUUGUUGGGUUCGGGUGUUGGGGGACGAUCGUAUCUGAAUCGGAGAUUUGACUCCGAUCUCGUUGAGCCUAAAGCCUCCUAAAGCCUAAAGACAUGGCCGUCGUUUGAAUCUUCCAAAAUGCUGGAAAGCUUCUUCGCAGCGAGGUCAAGUCAGUGCAGCGUUACUGAAUCCGUUCCUCCCAUCAUCCUUCUUUCCGGCCCUCGCUCCUGUGGGAAGACUUCUAUUUUGUUUCAAUUCGCUAUCAACCGCGCCCGGGAGAGUCGUGGUAAUGUGGUUUUCAUCUGCAACAAGAGGCGGCUGGAGUACAAGCCACCCUUUUUGUCUCAGGACGGUGAUCCAUCUGCUGAUGUCCUUGAAAGAAUAGAAAUGAAGUACAUUGAAGACUAUAAUGGAAUGAUGAAGUAUUUUGCAGCUUUUCACCUGCACAAGACCUUUCCUGCUGCAAUUGUCAUUGAUGAUUUUGAAGAUCAUUUUAUUGAUAGGACCUGUAAACAAAGAUAUGGCAAUGCAAGGGGUCGGGAUCUAGCCAUGGCCCGAUGUCUUGCUUUAUGCCGAGAUGCAAUACUACAUGCAAACCAAAAACUGGAAGACCAAGCUUCGUGUAAACUUCUAUUGGCUGAUACGCACCAAGGAGACAACCCAAGGCUGCUAUUUAUCUAUAAGAGAUGGGUACAUUGCAUCUUGACAAUUCAUGGUGAUGUUAAUGGUUUCUUCAUUUUGAAGAAUAGCAACGUUUCAAGCAACGCCCUGGAAACAAGAAGGGCCAAAUACUCCAUUGCACUCCAAUCUCUCUUGCUGGAAGCGAUACUUGAAAGUCCUGCUAAAAGUGACGAGCAAAGCCUGCCAGUUGUGCGUUAGUGUUCACCGUUGGCCCUCAUUUUCCAAAAAUCCAAGGCUGCCACCUGGCAAUGCAACACCAAAGACAUGCUCCUCAAAUUACCAUGGAAGGCUCUUUUGUUCCUUUCUCGUCUUGUUCAAAAUUUUGGCGAGGAUGUUCCAUGCCAAUCGAGCUCGUCUAACUAAUUCUUUAGCUUUUUCGUUUUCUUUGAGCAGUGAGUUGCGAAGCCAAUGUAGCACUUUCAGUGAUGUUGAUUAGAAACUCUGAGAAACCCUUGGCCUGCAAAUUUGCAUCGGUAUCCAAGAUUUUGGCUCGACUAAUCCUAAAUAUGGACAAUCUGACCCCACAAACUGACCACCAGAUAAAUCUGAGAAGCACGGAUGGAUCUUGACAAGACACCAUAGCAUCAACAGUGGUUUGAACUUCAUGGGCAUUUGAAAAUGCCAUGUGUGAGAUUCGAACUCUUGUUGCAUUUGAUUCAUCCUUGCCUUUACACUAUAUUAGUCUUUCCCAUAGUUGGUCAAUGAUUACUAUCAAAAUACUUAUAGUUUAUCAAAAUAUCUCAUAGCAAACAUUGU